rnacentral:rRNA from 1 species
UACGUAGGUGGCAAGCGUUGUCCGGAUUUAUUGGGUUUAAAGGGUGCGUAGGCGGCCUUAUAAGUCAGUGCUGAAAUAUCCCGGCUUAACCGGGAGGGUGGCAUUGAUACUGUAGGGCUUGAGUGUAGUCGAGGUAGGCGGAAUUGACGGUGUAGCGGUGAAAUGCUUAGAUAUCGUCAAGAACACCGAUAGUGUAGACAGCUUACUAGGCUACAACUGACGCUGAGGCACGAAGUGUGGGGAUCAAACAGGA